CGAGACAUAACAACACACGCACAGUGAUCUCUGAUCUAUGCUCUCUCUCAAUUAGGAUUUCAGUGUUCUAGUUUUCCAUCACAUGUGUAUUCAUCUGUUCUUGAUAGUUCUUGUGAGAGUAGAUUUAGAUGAGAGUAGUGUAGGCAUAUGUAGUGAGGUUUUUGUGUAAAAGUAGUUCAAACGAACUGAUCUAUCAUUAAUAAAUAGAUUCUUCGUGUUGGGAAAUUGAUUUUGUCAAGUUUUUCAUGGUAUCAGAGCGAGGUGAUUUCGUCUGAACUGUUCAAUCACUCGUUUGGUUUUUCCGCUUUGAUCGAUGGCGUUUAAAGGUUAGGGUUAUAUUGUCCCUUCUUCAUUUUUUUACCGUUUGUUCUCUUGAAUCUUAGGCUUGUUAUCAACAUCUCUUGUGUUGAUCUAAGAUUCUGAUUGGAAUCUUGUAGCUCUAACACCAUUUGUGUUCAUCUAGGGUUUCACUUUCUUUGUUCCUUUAUUUUGGCUUUAAGAUCUCGGUUACUGCGACUUUGUGUUCCAUUUACAGAUUGGUUGCUUCGGUAUUUCUUCAAUAUAUCGACGUUCGACGAAAUCUGUAAAAUCCGAUUAACUCUUUAGAGAACGGAACCUAGAAGUUUUGAAUAACUCUGAAGAGAAUAGAUUCAUUCUUAUCUGAUAAACUCUUUUAGAGAACAAAACCAAGAAGUUUUGAUAUUACUCUAAGAGAUUUGUCUCACAUUCUCUGGUAAUUUGUGGGUAUGUGUCUCUGAGCUUUGUUGAUUUUUCAUUGCAGUUUGUCGAAGACUAAAAUUUCAUUUAGAUUAUAUAGGAUAACACAAAACUUCAAUGGAUCGCAACUUCUUCAUACGAAGUCAGAUUUAAACGUUCCUUAUACCCAUAGAACUGUCAUUGCGACAUAAGAGUAUUAUUAUUAUAAGAAUGACUAGCAUCCAUGUCAAGUUAAAGAAUUGUUGAUGUUUCUAACUAAGGUGGAGUUUUAUUCUAUAUUCUUCAUCAACUUUCUAAUUGCUAAAAGGAACAAAAGUCUUCAAAGGUUGUAAAUUUCUUUUAUCGUUUGGUUAUGUUUUAAGUUUUCCAAGUUUUGGAAAAUGAUCAUUGGUGGGUAAAAUGGUUUUAGUUUAUUCAAAUUUAUAAAAUGCUUAUGUUGAUAAUUAUAUUAAUUUUGUCACUAAAAUUAAACUAUUUUUGAAUACAACCCAACACUUUAAGCUUUCCAUAUUGAUGAAAUAAAUGAAAAUGGAUAUACAAAGCAAUAUUAAACUCGAUGUAGCCAUAGCUUUAUGAGACUACAAACUUAACAUAACAUGGAAGUAGAGAAGGCACAAGCAAUACAAAUAUCAUACGUGUUGUUUCCCAUUAGAUCAAUACACUCAAAGAUCUUUAAGCACUUCUCCCUUUGCGACAUCUAGCUCACAUAGUGCACAAAGGGCCUGGGACUUAUAGAUCACAUAUGCUCGGAAAGCCAUUUGAAUCACCAUGACGAUAUCCAUACGUGACAACUUCUUCUUCUUCGUCGUCGUCUUUUUCUUUUUCUUUUUCUUCUUAUCCUUCUUGUUCUUCCUAAAUACAUGACUAUCAUCUACAAUGUUAGAUGAUGGGUUGAAAGUGUACUUGCGUACAUACCUCCACCAAUUAGUUAGCAUAAAAGCGAGCCCAGGCGUCUCCUACAAAAACUUUACAAAGACGUCAAAAACCAAACUAAAUAAAAAAAGAUACAUGGAAACUUAAAGUCAUAAUAUACAACUAUAAAAGUGGUAACUCGGGUGAUUCCAUGGUGAACGUCACAUUUGGGGAGUUGUCAAACAAGAAGUUUCUAGUUGCACUACAC
rnacentral:lncRNA from 1 species